rnacentral:rRNA from 1 species
UACGAGAACCCCAAGCGUUAUCCGGAAUCAUUGGGCGUAAAGGGUGUGUAGGCGGCGAUGUUAGUCUUCUGUCAAAUUCUUCGGCUUAACCGGGGGCUUGCAGGGGAAACGGCAUGGCUCGAGAGUGCGAGAGGUGAAUGGAACUCAUGGAGUAGGGGUAAUAUCCGUUGAUAUCAUGGGGAACACCGAAAGCGAAGGCAAUUCACUGGCGCAUUUCUGACGCUGAGACACGAAAGCGUGGGUAGCGAAUGGG